CAUUAGCCCUGAUCGUAGCAAUUGUCUGAGCUCAUUUUCAGGAUUUGUUCGGCGCGGCGAAGCCGCGCCGAACAAAUCCUGAAAAUAGCGAGUGCGGAGAGCAGGAAAAAGC
rnacentral:misc_RNA from 1 species